AGAAAUAACUUCCUGUUAACUCCUUAUGCGCUCCAACAUGCUUUCAGGCUGUUUGUCCUCAUUCGACGAAAAAAAGAAAGCGAAUGAAAAUGGAAAAAAUACAUCUGUUUGUUGAUCGCAGUUUUUUGGGAAAACAGAGGAUUGUCGAUCUGUGUGAAAGUGAUGAAGAGAUGCAGAAAAUGACAGUCCUGCAGCUGAAGGAGAAGAUAGCUCAACAGAUACCUGAAUACCGGCGAUACGUAGAAGCAGGGAGCAAAAAUGUGGGUCUGAUCUUUGAAAAUAAGAUGUUGGAUGAAGACUCUAAGCCGCUGUCCGGAUAUGGAAUCCAGCACAUGUCUGUCGUCCGACUGCUGCUGGACUUUUCUGGAGGAGAAAGUCCAGCAUUUCAUGAAGGUAAAGAGAUGGAAAAAGAUAACACACCAACCCCAAAAAGUAUGAUCAUGUCAAUGCAACUGCAAAUGGGCACUUUAAACAUUUUCCCACAAGGACCUGGCGAAGCGGAAAGUUCAGAGGAUGAAUCCAGCAAAAAUAAAAUUGGUGAUAAAAAGAAUGAAAAAAGAAAAAAUAGUAUGGACCGGCUUACUUAUUUUCAAGAUGGGGGCGGGGGAGUUCUAUGCCAUUAUUUGAAGUUUUCAAUGAUCUUAACCCAAUAUUUUACAUUUAGAGGAGGCUUUUUCGCAAACCCACUAUGUUUAAGAAAAACACCAUGAAACUGGAACAUUCUCUAAUUGUCAUUUUUAAGGUUUCUGGGGUUUUUUUAACAGUAAAAAGUGUUCCGUUUCUGCAGAUGUAGCUGCAGACUAAAAACCUGAAAGAUUCAAACACAGCCAAAGUAUUAUACUUACUCAAAUUUCUACUGCAGAUUUUUUCGCACAUUCUUUGACCAUGUUUAAUUUCAAUCUUUUCAUCAUUUUACAGGUAGAGUUUUCAGUGUUACAUUGAUUAUACAUUUUCGACAGUUUGCCAAAUGUUAAAAUGGACUGAAUGUGACUGUCCAUAUUUAAACUGUGAGUGAAAGGAUCACAUCUAUAGCUAACUAAUAACAGUAAAAAAAAAAAUUUAAAUCCCCCCAAAGAGUUGUGGACUUAUGUGAAUUGAUUGUUGUUUUUUAAAAUUGAAUAUUGCCUGAGUGAUUCCUGCGUGCUUCACUCCAAACUAUUUAUACAAAAGAACUGAUAUGGAAAUAAAGGAAUUAUACAAAUUUUA